rnacentral:rRNA from 1 species
CAGUCGCCGCGGGAAUACGAAGGGUGCAAGCGUUACUCGGAAUUACUGGGCGUAAAGGGCUCGCAGGCGGUUUCUUAAGUCUGAUGUGAAAGCCCCCGGCUCAACCGGGGAGGGUCAUUGGAAACUGGGAAACUUGAGUGCAGAAGAGGAGAGUGGAAUUCCACGUGUAGCGGUGAAAUGCGUAGAGAUGUGGAGGAACACCAGUGGCGAAGGCGACUCUCUGGUCUGUAACUGACGCUGAGGAGCGAAAGCGUGGGGAGCGAACAGGAUUAGAUACCCCCGUAGUCCCUGUCUCUUAUAA